UACGGAGGGGGCUAGCGUUAUUCGGAAUUAUUGGGCGUAAAGGGCGUGUAGGCGGCUUCGUAAGUCUCAUUGUGAAAGCCCUCGGCUCAACCGAGGAACUGCAUGGGAAACUGCGGAGCUUGAGUCCGGGAGAGGAGAGCGGAAUUCCCAGUGUAGCGGUGAAAUGCGUAGAUAUUGGGAGGAACACCGGUGGCGAAGGCGGCUCUCUGGACCGGUACUGACGCUGAGACGCGAAAGCUAGGGGAGCAAACGGGG
rnacentral:rRNA from 1 species